UGUCCGUGACGCUGGAGAUGGAGAUGGAAAUGGAGAUGGAGAUGGAGACGGAGAUGGCGAUGACUGACCUAUAAAUGUCGUCUCCAAAUAGUUAGCCAUCUGUCUGGAUAUCCAUCUCUCUCAGAGUCUGCCUGGCUGUCUCUGUUUGCUGCUCUAUUUGUCUCUCCGUUUGGUCUAGAUUGUCUCUUGGAUCCCACAAAUUUCCGUUUGUAUUUAAAUCGGUUUUGGGCUUCCCUUUCAUCUGACUGUUGGGGGUCCUGUUGCUGAAACAGUUCCUGAUUCUGUUACUGUUUCUGUUCUGGAUUCUGGACUCUGAUCCUGGGCCUGCUCUUUCCUGUCAACUUUGACAUGUGUUCCUCUCGCAUUUUUUGUGACGCCUGUCGUUUGCUGUUUGAAGCAUGCUACUUAAAAGCUGACAAUCCCCACUUUUCAGAGAGGCACUCCCUUCGAGAGGACAAGAGCAGAUUCAUUUUCGGCCAAGAGCGACUGGCAGUUACAAGUUCCUAGCCUCCCAGACCAGACCAGACCAGACCAGGCUCGCUGACAAUUCCAGGCUACAAAUAAUGGCCAUAAAAAUGCCGCCCUCACAGUGGGAGACUUUCGAGUGACGGAAAGGACAUGACAGAAGAGCUGGAGCAGGAGGUGUCAAGUGGUGCUCAUGUCUAGGCCAGAAAGGGCAAACAAAAGCCCCCCUCACUCAACACUGGUACGAGUAUUUGUGUGUUGGCAUUUUUUGAAAAUUCAAUUUACAAUUUAAUUUUCUGCAAAAUUGCUCCAUUGUAAUGGAGACAACAAAUAUCAUUUAUAACAAUGAAUUAAUGUAUUUUUAAUAUUCGACUAAUUGGCGCAGAUAAAGGAAAAGCUUCGAGCUCUUCACUCUA